rnacentral:rRNA from 1 species
UACGUAGGUGGCAAGCGUUAUCCGGAUUUAUUGGGCGUAAAGAGAACGCAGGCGGUCUUUUAAGUCUGAUGUGAAAGCCUUCGGCUUAACCGGAGUAGUGCAUUGGAAACUGGGAGACUUGAGUGCAGAAGAGGAGAGUGGAACUCCAUGUGUAGCGGUGAAAUGCGUAGAUAUAUGGAAGAACACCAGUGGCGAAAGCGGCUCCCUGGUCUGUAACUGACGCUGAGGUUCGAAAGCGUGGGUAGCAAACAGG